rnacentral:lncRNA from 1 species
GUUGAAUACUGUGUGUAUAAAAAUGACAAUAACAAAAAAGAAAGAAACACUUUUGAUUGAAACACUGGUUUUGUGUUCGAGAGCAGGGUUGUUUUGAAAGGCUAUCCACUAAAAGAUAUGCUGACUGAGGACAGUAUAACAGUCUUUGGGUAGGCAGCAUCAGUCAAAGGUAUCCUCCUCAACUCUGAGAGAAAUUAUGGGGUUUCUUUAGCCUUUUUCUGUAAAGAAUAUCUAGUCUUUUCACUUUAGCUAACAACAGUUUGUAUUGCUAGUUUGUAACUCCAUAUUUCCACCAACUGGCUCAUGAUCAAAAUAGCAAGAGUCUCUCUAAAGGCACUGACACACCGGUAGCGUUUGCCAGCCGAGAGUACUUAGCACCUCUGAACAGAGUGCCAGCUGUAAUUUGCAAACCGAGUGCAAACCACGCGAAAAUGUUGGCAGUCAGACGCCCACCGGCAAGUGGUCCAUAAAACACACCACGCCGAACGAACGGCGAUCGACAUUUGGUGCGAUGUGUGCGCUCUUUUAGAAAUUGAGGAGUAGGAGGAGGAGGAGGAGGAGGCGUAGGAGGAGGAGGAGGAGGAACAUAAUUUUUUUUCAGACCUUCAUCUGAGCUUUCAUCCUCUGAAAGAUAAGGAAAUGUUAAACUUAAUUGUGGAACAUUAGACACAUUUGAUUGGUUCAAUAUUCAUCAUUUUUGUCCACUUAAAAUAUCUGGAAUGAUUCAUGUGAGGUAUUUAUGAUUUGUGUUGAAAAAGUGUGUGUGUGAGUGUGUUUCUCGUCCCCACAAGGAUAGUAAAACAUGGAAAAGGGCUAUUUUAGGCUUAGGGGUUUGGUUUAGGGUUAGGGGUUAGGUAGAUUACGAUUUUGAAUGGGAAUCAAUUGUUUGAGCCCCACAAGGAUAGCAAAACAAACGUGUGUGUGUGUGUGUGUGUGUGUGUGUGUGUGUGUCUGCCACCUCUGGUCUUUUGGCCCUCUCACUCCUCUUCGAAGAGUAUUUUAAAUAAUCCCACAGCACCCCCCCUCGCACCCCCUCCUCAUGCCCAACACACUAAGACUCACACUUGACUUUUCCCCGUUACUAGCUCUGACUUUGCUAAUAACUACUUUAUUGAGGAAAAGUGUACUUACUAUGCCUGUGAUAAGUGGUUGUGACCACCUAGCUAUCUUAAGAUGAAUGCACUAACUGUAAGUCACUCUGGAUAAGAGCGUCUGCUAAAUGACUUAAAAUAAACAAUUAAAAAAAUGUGUGUGUGUGUGUGUGUGUGUGUGUGUGUGUGUGUGUGUGUGUGUGUGUGUGUGUGUGUGUGUGUGUGUGUGUGUGUGUGUGUGUGUGUGCAUGGUGCGUCCCUGUUUGAAUAUGGUCUCUUACCCUCCUGGUCCUCAACACUGUUUGCUGCAACACCUACAAUAAGGAAUGAAAGCACAUUCAUAGUAAUGUUAUUUUCUUCUCCCCAG